CCUGUAGCAAUACAGGCAGAUGGCGACCGGCGCACGGGUGAGUAACGCGUAUGCAACCUGCCUAUCAGGAGGGGAAUAACCCGGCGAAAGUCGGACUAAUACCGCAUAAAACAGGGGUCCCGCAUGGGAAUAUUUGUUAAAGAAGCGAUUCGCUGAUAGAUGGGCAUGCGUUCCAUUAGAUAGUUGGUGAGGUAACGGCUCACCAAGUCUGCGAUGGAUAGGGGUUCUGAGAGGAAGGUCCCCACACUGGUACUGAGACACGGACCAGACUCC
rnacentral:rRNA from 1 species